UCAACCCCCUUUUACUCCGUACUGUAGGUGUGUUACGUACGUACACAGUUUUGUACCUAUGUAAUACGUACAGGCCUUUAUGUACGUCGCGGCGGUUCUCGCGGAAGGUCCUCGUAGGAGAAUCGGUGUGUCGGAGCGAGAAAAUUGUCGGCCAUUCGAAUAGCGUCGUCCCGUUCUUCUCCCGGGCCUUCCGCUGGCCCUCAUCUUUACCACCGGAAAAAAAACCCGGUGUUGUUCAGAACGAAAAGAUUUCCACAACUCAACGGCGAAUAUCGAUGAAAAAUUGCGGAGGCGUCCGAACGGAUUCCGAAUCGCGUGAAAAUCAGACCACAGUUUCGACAGAGGGCUGGGCAAAAUGAUUCCGCAAAUCGCGAACCCGAAUCCCCGGAACUUGUUUGUUCGGUUAUACGCUGACCCUCUUAAUGGAACCGGGAGAAGGCCCGGAUACCUGGGCCCCGAAGUGGAGAAGUACGGUACGGCGGUGUUGAAACGGACAAAAAGUCCACACGAUGCGUACGAUUACAUAGAAAAGCCGUGCACUGGAAGUGGAGGAAGUGCAGAUGGGGAAGGGACGAGGUGGACGAAGGGGGAGAAGAGGACGGGGGGGGGGGGGUCGUCGGCCCCUUCAAAACCCGGAGCAACCCCCGCUUAACUUUACCCUUGUUAUAAAUACUAAUUGCUCUAUACAAACGCCCCGAAAAGUGUUUAACGUAUAUAUAAUAUGUUUUGUUUUUUCCCUUCGUUUCGUUUCGGCACGUCGGCUUUGCGCGCCUCGUGAUUCGAUGAUCCUGACCUCGCGUCGACGACGUUUCCACCGCAGAGGUGAGCUCGUUAUCUCUGAUAUACGGUAAAGUGGUUUUAGUUUUAGCGAGUCGCAUUCAUAUCCAUUGUAAUUACGUAACUCCCGCAGUGUACGUACGUGUAUAUUCCGGGCGGGUAUAUAGGCAGUUAAAUUGAUUACUAAUUACACAUUAUUGAUGAUCGUGCGGAGGGUGAUUAACGAAGAGACGUAAAUUUUGCGGUAUAUGCCCAACGAUUGGACGGAAGGACGUAGUUCGCCCGUAAACAGGUGUGUAUCCAAUUUCGGGUCGUAUAAUCAGCGCCAUAGUUCACGUACGCUUAUACGUACGGGUACGUAUGUAUUCGCGUACAUAUACGUCCGUGCGAAUUAUAGUACGUACAUGCGUAUACACACGCAGGUGUACACGUGUACGUGCGAAGGAAACGAUUGCCGAUAUUUUUAUUCAAGCGAAAUUGGUAAUUUGCUCGUUCCGCCAAUUUUCGCAAUUUUCCACGUCGUACCGACACGAGUUUUGGCGUAGCGAAAUGUGCGGGUGGAAGGGGGACUCUGACCCUCGAUAUACGCGUACCGUACGGUAGACAAUAGUCACACGCGACUCUCUCUCUCUCUCACUCUCUCUUUGUGUACUCCACUCUCAUUUUACUCAUUUUCCCUCUUUCCCUCGUUCCCUCUUCAUUGAUUCGUGGCGGACCGCGACAAUGAAUCAUGUACGGUAGCCCACCGCGUUUGCAGCUGGCCAACGUAAAAUCAUCUUGUCAAAAUUACACGUAUAUUUUUACCUAUAGGUAUAUAUUCGACGCAACAAUAAUCGGAAGUUUUGGUAAAUUUUAAUGGAGAAAAUAUGCGCAUUCAUUUCAUCGGUAUAAAAAAUACGACACGCACUUUUAGCGCCUUUGUUCGGAAUCAGCUGGUGGCGUUCACAUGUAAAUGUAAAAAAAAAAAAAAAUAAUCGUUCCCGAUUAUCGCGACGGUGUACAAAGUGCGUGUAAAAGCGAUACAGAUUAUUGGGGAGAAUGUGUACAUUGUGCAGGAGGGAAACCCGCAUCGGUUAUUUGUAAAAUUGAAAAAGAACUAACGAAAGAAAAUGAAACAAAAGUCAGUCAGUCAGUUAUGUGUGGCCAACAUACGGAGUUCGGGAGGAAUCGUUCUCGCGGCCAACGAAACAUGGUAUUUACCUCCCUUCGUGCAACGCAGUUUGUAUACAUGUAUAGAGAGCAAACAAUUAUUGAUGUAACGUUCGCUGUUGCCGCAGCUGUCCUCACCGAGUGCAGUGUUUCUACAAAUAUUAUUUGGUAUAAUAACAGGUGACGAACUCUUGAUUAAAAAACUUGAAUCUACUUCUCUUUUUUAUUUUUUUCUCUCUCGUUUUUUCCUCGCCCCAAGCGACCGUAAUCACCGACGAAGCUACGGAUACGAAAGUCGUGUGCAAUAUUUUUCGAAUUACGUUCGGUAUAUAAAGAUUCCUUCACAUAUUCGCUCGUCUCGUAUCGUUGUGACGAAGAAGAGGAAGCUCGCGGAAAGCUUCUACACGUAUAUCAAUCGUAACGCUAUUUUGUUGGGAAUCGUUCUCUUAUCCGGAAAUCGGCGAACCGUCUACCCAUUUCCGUCGGACGUUGUGCGGAGAUUCCUUCGGAUGUAAAUAUACAUGAAAAAAUAUUUUUUUUUCUCCUCUCUCUCUCUCUCUCACGAAACCCCAUGAAACCCGCGACCGGACAGCCAGAAGCUGCGGGGCGUGGAGGGUUGAAAAAUUACCAGAUAAUGGAUUAGUCCGCUGACAGAUGGCCGCCACACCGAGAGAGAUAGAAGCGAGAGUGAAAAUCGGGGGAGGGGUCGAACGGGGUCAUGCGCCAGGGGUUGGAAAAAGGACGAACGGACGAUGACGACGACGACGACGACCGUGCACAGGGAAAAACGCAUCGAAUCAACCGAAAUUCCACGUAACGCGAAACCCGCCAAUAUUUCCGUAGUGCGAAAAUUUCGGUAGACGUCGCUCGGUGCGUGUAUCGCUUUGAUACGAGAAAAAGACGGCCUCCGAACCGAGGGGGUGAAAAGGGUCGAGUCGAACUAACCGCGAGAUAUAUCGAAAUAUCGAGAGAGCUUUCGGGGGCUGUAUGUAUACCGGACGCCUAACUACGGGGGGAUCGACGUUCGAGGGUCUUUGAGGGUGAAAAAAAGAAAGGCAAAAAAAUUUCGACGAGAGUUAGCCACUCGAUGACGUUCAACGACUACACCGGUAUAAUAUACCGGUGGAGAUCAAUGGGGCAAAAAACAGGACGACGACCGGCGAAUUAGAUGCCCAUGGGAAAAAUAAUCUCACCUAGAGGAUUGAUUGAUCCUGUGUACGAACUUUUUCUGUCUACGUCUGUCCGUUCGAUUCUCAUCUACGAAUUGUAUACAUAAUCAGGCUGUGAAAAUUUUUGACUUAUGGAAAAGCUAGCGGAAGAGGAGGAGAAAAAGGUGCCGUCAAACCUGCACGGCGGAGUUUCAUCGCCGUAAAGAGUUUCGACGCGUCAUUCUCGUCGUUUAUUUUUAUUUUUUAUUUUUUUUUGUUUUAUUUUUUUUUUGGUUUCUUUUUUAAUGUACUUGGCGCUACGUCGGAGCAAGUCUCUCAAUCCGACCCGACUUAAGCUCACCUAACAAAACUAAAAGAAAACCAGAAGCAAAGGAAAUCAAACAGAGGUGGAUUUGUAGAGACGAGGAGCGAGCGAGAAGCAUAAGAUCUGCUUCGUAGAGGAAUAAGACUGCACACGGGGUGUAACGAUCCGAGAAAAGGAAGAGCAAAAACGUGGCGGUGGGAUGAAUAAAAUAAUAACAAAAAGAAACGAGAGAAAGAAUAAGAAGGAGAGAAAAAAAAAAAAAAAAAAAAAAAGGGAAAAAGGGUAGAGAAAAUAGUGUACAGAAGCGGAAAGAGUAUAAUAAGAACAAAACGAAAAUAAAGAAUAAAAGUAGAGAAUGAGUAAAGUAGAAGAACAAGAUGAAAAGUAAAAUAAAAAAAGAAAAAAAAAAAAAAAAAAAAAACAGUAAGAUAAUCAAAAAAGGAAGAAAGGAGAAAAGGAAGGAAAUAAGAUGGCUGCAUCCCUGCGCGCACAAAUAAAAGGUAAAAACAAAAGGAAUGAGAAAAAGACUGUGUGGCGUAACAAAAGAUACAAAAGAUACCGCACCACCACACGAGAAAUAAGGAGAGAGGAAGAGCUAUACGAAGGAAUAUGAAGAAAGCGAGGAAGUUGCAGAGUGCAGCGUAUACCGUACCCCCAUCUUUCUUUAUCCCUUUCGCUUUCUUUCUCUUUGCCUGCUCACGUUCUCCACCGGCGGACUAUCCUCAUCCUUACAAGGCCCCUCCUCAAACAAUAAGUAACUACGGCAUAUUUUUAUUUUUCAUUCUCUUACCUUUAACUACCGAUUAACUCCGGUCGGGAGAAGCCGCACACCGCAUAGAACGCUGGAUUACCUUUUCAGGCAAACUAACGAAAGGUGCAUUGUAUUUAUUCGCACGUUUCCUUUGGGCCCCGUGGCACAUCUCAUUCCGGUUAGACAUACCUCCGAACUGCAGGGAUCGUUCCCAUUCGGCUAGCGAAUAAAAAGAAAAAUAAUCGCCCGACGCGUCUGAAACGUGCUUCUGACAAGCGUCGCUGAAAAAGAAUUAACGCCAGGCUAACGGUUAUCUUCGUCUGUUAUCUAACGACCCGACUCGCCGGUGUAGCUCAACUUAUAGCACAGUCAAACCGCGGAGUUGGAAUCGAGUCCUCGUCUCAACGGCAACGGCGGCGGCGGCGGCGGCGGCGGUCCUUCCCUCUCGCUUCUACUUUGACCACAUUCUACCCACUGACCGCAGGUAAGCUGAUGGUGGCCGCUGUAAAAGGUAACUACACGUAAACGCGUCUUACAAAAGCAUGUACAAAAAUUACACUCGUUUUUUUUUGUUCCCCUCCCCCUCAUUCUCGCUGAAGAACAACGCUACAAACAUCUUACGCCUGGUCGAAAAAAGAGCGAUGAAAAUUUUCACCUUCGUUAUUGAGAAAAUACGUGAUAAUUGAAAUUGCGAUCGAGUUCGUUAAACAAUCAUUCAGAUUCAUCCGAUUGUAAAAGAUCGUAAAUCUUAAUAGGCUCUUUCGCAUCGACUUUGAAAACACGAGGCAUACGCGGAAUAUUUAGCGCGAUUUAUGCAACGAUAUAAAAAUUCAGCGUACGUGUACCGGGAACCGGAAUUACCGAGCGUGACGGAUUAAGCCGAGCUGUGUGCAGCUUGAUAUAAUAAAAUUACCAUCGAAUAAAAGAGAGGAAAAAAAGAACGGAAACAAAACCCGAUGGCGGAGAAAAAAGAAAUAUUACAAAAAGAAUUUAUCGAUGAAAAAAAAAACACCAACAAAACGAAAAAGCACAUCAUCCCGCAAAUGUAUCCGAACGAUGUAACAACACCAUCCACAAAGCAGCGACAUGAAUCGUACGUGAUCCUCCCGUUCCCGUACGGCUUUCAACAUGGGGUCGUGUGUGUACGGCGGGGCGGAGGGCGGGGGGGGCCGGGCCACGGUUGAAUACGGUUCUCUUAUACACAAGGCAUAUCGUGUACAUGCGACGUAAGUAUGUACAAAGCUUAUAAAAGUUUGUACGUACGUAUACCUAUAUCCGUGAGCGUUGCGAGCGGGGCAGGAGGGAUAUAAACCGAUUUUGUGCCAAUAAUGAAUUCAACAGCUGCCCCAAGUGCCAAAGUGAUUUCGAUGUAAAUCACUUCAUCUUUGGGCGCAGGUAUAUUUGAUCGUACAACCGGCGCGCGGUCGCCGCUACUGCACCAGAGGCGUUUAUGGGUAUGCAUUAUACCUACGUGGAAGGAUGGAGGAUACAUAGAUGUAUGUACACACGACGGUGGAUAUAUAUAUAUAGGCACACCAACCACCCAUAUCCGUACAUAUUACGUACAGUCGUCCGACGUCAUCUCUAUACACAAGCGCCGCCGCGGACUCCCGUAGGGGUGUUCGGUAGGGAAACGGGGAAAGGGGAUCCCCGGGGGUUGAAACUGGGGCCGCUGCUGCUGCUGCUGCUUCUGCUGGUGCUGCCGCUGCCGCUGGAACUAACCGAGGGCGAGGGAAGAGAAAGAGGAAGAGGAGGAAGUGGAGUGCGAGCGAACGAGUGAACGAGCAAGCGAGUGAGAGAAUGGGCGAGUGAGUACCUUCCACCACCCCCAAUUUCCAACCCCCCUUUAUUCUCCUCUUAUCCCCACCCCCGCUAAGAGUUACCAUUGGCGUAGCGAUCGAAGCCGUGGAUUUUUUUUAACUAGACACCCUGUGGAUACAUUUCUCCCAAAAAAGUCGUGUAUGGUGUACGCUGCGAUGGAAAAAAGUAUGGGCAAAAUCUAGAGGCUUUUCGUGACAAAGAACGCUCGUUUUGCCAGAAGGUGAGAAUAAAAAAAAGGGCGUUGGGAAGAUGGAAGUUUUAUAUCGGGGGUGUUUUAUCAAUUUUUUGAAACACAGCGAUCCUUGUUAUUAUGUUCUGAAAAUAACGCGUUACAGAGCGUAGGUUUUCUUCGGUAUCGUGUUUAGGUAUACGCCAUUGAAAACCCAGCGGUUUCGAGUGUUGCUAGGAUACACCCUUCGCAACCCCUGACAUCCGACAAAGACGAAGAAUACGAGGUAGAAGAAGAUGGAGGCGAGCUUCCUCUUCAAUCUUCGAACACUCACUCGGUUUAACUGUGUGAGUUUGUUACACGGGGCGUAGAGUUAUACCACACCGAUGUCUCGCCUGUAUACGUUCACGACGUUCACGGUGUGGUGUAGGGUCGCCGCGAAGAAUACUCUGUCGUAGCUCGGAAAAGAUGCCUGAAGGGGCAAGGAAACAAAAAAAAAAAAGUAGGAAAAAAAGAAGAGGAGAACGAUGAAGAACAGAGAAACGAAAAAAAAAAGCACACAGAGAUGAAUAAAAAGGUAAGGAAAGAGGAAUUUGGCAUCUACGAGUUGUUUAGUAGAUGCCAGCGAUCCUUGAAAUGGAUAUUUGUUCCAGUUAAUGUGACGGGUGACCGAUAUAAACGUCACGUAAAUCUGAAAAGAUUCGAAUAUAUCUCUCAUAGCUCUGAAAGUCCCUGUGAGUAUAGAUCAUUGGACGGUGUAAACUUAUAGUUUAUCCAAACUCAUCGACUGCUAGUUGGAGAGAAAUUCCGUGUAACGAAUAGCGAAGAUUACCGAAGGUUCAAAAGUUUGAAAGAACAGUAAGGAAAAUCGGUAACUGUUCUUUUUUUUUUGUUGUCCAUAUUCCUGUUCUACGACUGCUGGCUUUUCAAAAUGAACAAGAAAUAGAGAAAAAAGAAGGGAAAGGAGAACCGCAGGUUUCUCAUUUUCUUUUUUUCUCUAUACCGAUAGGAGUAGAGUGAAGAGGUUGUACGUUAUCGAUUGUUGAAAUGAGAAAUUUUUCUCGAAAAGCCGUUUUGUCAAAGAUUGCGCAGAAAUAUCAACCAACGUGUAUUCGAGGAGAUAUUGAAGUAGUAAAGAAUAAGAAACGAGGAUCGCGCGUCGUGUUUGCCGCCGAGUUAACUUUUGAUUGGAUUAUACCGACGCCCUCCCGUAGAGACCCUUCACCCCUCCUGCACAGCGGACCCAUAGCAAACCGAGCAGGUUGUCAUCCAACACGAAACGCCGACUGGCAAAUCCAGUAGUUUCUCUUCCCUCAAAGGCGCCCACGUCUUUUGUUUCUUUUAUCUCCUUCUCUCCUUUCCCUCACCUUCCAUGUUCUUUUCUACCUUCCAUUUCCACUCCUUUUAUUCUUUUUAAACGAGUGUACGCAGCCCGCCUGGGCGAACAGGAUCGCCGAUACGUGACACCCGCCGUCGGUUGACCCUUCCUUUUUUUUUUUUGCUUUUUCUUUUUCUUUUGAUUCCUUUUAUUUUCACUCCUUUUUUUUUCUCCUUGCUUUUCACGUUCUCAAUUUCUUUCUUUUUUGUAUUUAGUCUUUUUGGUGAAUUUAUUUUUUCCCAUUGUAACUUCUUCUCGCUUCAUUUGUGUUGUUCUCUGUGCGCGCUAACGCACUCAUGCUACUUUACUCUUCGCUCCUUCUUUCUUAUUCUCUUUUUUUCAACCACUUUAAACCUUUCCAUUAUUCUUCAUCUUUGUGCUGCCUGCAUCGGAGCGUUUAACACGUUGACGUGAAUGCGUGGCAUCGAGUAAAUAGAAUGAAAAAAUAAAAGAGAGAAAAACCAACCAAAAAAACAACAAUUAAUUGAAAAUAAGAAACGGAAAUGAAGGAGUGAAGCUAAAAAGCAAAAAAUAAGAAAAAAAAAUCGCCCCACUCAAUUCCUGCUUCCGUCUUAUUAUUUUAUACACAUCCUCGCAGCUCGACGGUGUUUCGGCCUCGUGUACAUGUAUCUGUAGGGAAGCCAAAAAAUAUCAUGUCUCGAUAACGCCUGACGCGAAAUCGAAGCUAAUAACGUACGUCGUUCGUAUAGCAAUCCGGCGACCGAGUGGAGCGCGGGGCAAUCGGAUAAGAGGUGAGUUCAAAGGCUCGUGCGAAUCACCUCGGCUCUUACACGCAGCCUUAUGGAUUUAAGUGCCCCGCGAGUUCCCGCACGUAAGAUGGUAUACACGUAUACACGGGUAUACGUAUGUUCGUUCGUACGGUCGGUAUAUAAUACUUUAUUAUAGGUAUGUGGAGCCCUCGGGUUCGCGAAACUCGUUGUCUUUCUAUUUAAGGCUCGUUCCUAGUUGAGAGAGCUGGUCCUUCGGUUCGCGCGGCCUUUUUUGUAUCAUUUGCCGUAGGCUUCAUCUCGAAGUAGGUAGGCAUAUAACAUGCUGGGUGGGCCUCUGCCGAGUGUCUGGAGGCUUUGAGACGAGGAGGAAUUCAUCGGGAAUGAAGUGAGCGCGAGAGAGUCAGGGGGAUGAACGAACGAACCACCGAUGCUGCUGCCGCUGCCGCUGCUUCUGCCGCUGAUGCUGAUGCUGCUGCUGCAGUCAACGCGCGAGUUUGGCAUCCUCUUUCAGGGAGAGCGACGGAGAAGGAAAUAUAGGAGAAAAGGUGGAGUGAUAAGAAAAGACGGAGUAUACCAGCCGAGGGACAAAGGACUUGUCAGGUAGCAGCCGCCCUUCCCAACAAAGACCCUUCCUAUUUCGUGCCUCUUUAUUUUAUUUUACCUUGUUUUAUUUUUUUUCCGCUCACUUUUUCUCUCCUUCCACCAUCCUCAAUUUUUCUCCCCCCCCCCCCCCUUCUGUUUUUGUUUUCUUACAUAUUCAUUUUCGAAAGCGAUAGAGCGAGAUGUUGACACUGAUCUUUGCGCGCGUCACGUCACACAUUCGUUCGGUAACUGGUGUUUUUCGAAUUUUCCGAAAAAAAUUCGUGAAAAUUGAACUCUGAAAGAUGGCUUAUACGGAUUUUCAUUUGGAACAAUUUCCGCCUCGCCCGUCUCGAAAUUCAACGAUGGGCUUGCUCAUCGAUCGCCACUGGCUUUGGCGAGAAGAUUGAUAGACUGUAAGGCUCGACGGUAUUGCCCUUAAUCUUACCAAUCUCUCAAAAUUAAUACGAUGGGCUUGCUCGUGUUAAUUGACGGAAUAUAUUUCGAUUCGAACAGCUGCGAUCUUCGGCUCCUGGUCGUUUUUUUGUUGCAAUCUUUUUCAACAACGCUCGAUCACUCGUGGAUUUUUGGGGCCUAGGUAUUCAUCGUAAAGCGUUCGAAAAGGUAUCCUUGCGGAAAACAUAUGUAUACCUACCCUUCUACCAUGAGACUGAAAGUUUUAUUAUUUUAGGACCCGAAAGUUCUCGACCUUCGUUGCUAUUGCAGCUAUACAUACGUAUAACACGUUCAGCAGAAGUCGUAAAAUUUUCACCAAAAUUAUGAAGAAAACGCUGCCUGCCCCCAGGAAGUUGUCGGUGUGAUUUAGUCGACGGAAAUAUCCUAGUUCGAUUCUCGAGCAAUAAUCUCAUCAUAAAAGUCUCGACCUGACGGUAAAAAGAAACCCAAAAAAAAAAAUGGGAGGAGAAGAGAAAAGAUCGUGACGCAGAGGGGAAAACGGAGGGAGAAAAAUCCAAAUGAGAAAUAAUCGCAGAUGCAGGGCGAAAGAAGUAUAAGGGCGAGAGCGAGGGCGACGAGGGGAGCGAGGGCGAUGGUAAGGGUGUACGAACGCUUCGGAAUACUCGCGCCCCAACGACUAAUGGAAAUAAGUUUUUCACCCCUCUGGCAACUCUCCGGGCUUUCCAGGGGCGCCUCCUCGAAGUAGAGGAGACAAAUUUGUGCCAUGCUUUUCACCGAAUUAGAAGAUAAAUAUUACUGACUUACCUCACCCGAGCUUAACUCACGUAUAGGUAUUAUACAGUUCAAAGCUCGAUAUCUGCCUCUUUAUAAGGGGGGAAAGAAGAUUAGGAUCAAGGAUGUUCAUCUCCAGAUGAACGCCUUUAUACCCAGAAUGGACGAGACUCUCGGAACACCUUUUCGUAUAUAUAUUUUUACGGUAUUAUACGAACAAAGUGGUAUUUAACGUGUUUAGAAGUGUGAAAGACCGUCGGUUCGGGUGAUAAAAAAAAAAAAAAAAAAGGAAAAGAAAAGAAAAAUACAUGGAAAAAAGAAAACCCAAUCCCCUGAAACUGUGAAAUCGAGACGUUCCGCAUUAGUUAAAAAACUUACUACCACAAAAAUACCAAGCUUAUUUCGAUUACGUGGUCGUCCAGGCGUGGAUAUUGGAUAAGUAAUAUAACCUUACUGAAGGGCCAAAGUGGGCGAGUCAUACCUCGGAAGGAGAUGACGACCGACACUCGAUGAAAUAAACUUCUUCAAAACCCUCGAGUGAAGAAAAAUAAAUAAAUAUAUAAAGCCGUCAUCCUGACGGUAACUUUUUCCGAACCCUUUUUCUCAAGCGCUCAUCCACAACGCAACGGAAAGAAAGUUUUUAAAUUAUUAUCAAGUAAAAUUUUAUUUAUUCAAAAAUAAGUUUGUCAUCGACAACGAUUCGAUAAACGCGCUCAACCCUUUCAACCUUUAGAGUAAUUGGCGGUUCCUUUCUGAUCCACCCUGUAUCAUGUGGUGAAUACAUAACUCAUUCGAAUUGAAGUUAUCAAAUUUCGUCUAGAGGCCGAAAUCGUUGGACAUAUUGUAACGUAGUAAAUACCUAGCUGUGUAGAUCAGCGGAAGGCAUGAAAAGGGAAAUCGAGAUGAGUUGAAAUUUUAGGGUUUCGCUUGGGUGACGAAGGAAAAGCAUCGUUUACCCAAGAAUUUCGAUUCAUUUUAUGAGCGCUUUGUGUACCCUUCACAUACAGGUAUUAAAGUAUACAUAUGUAAUAUAUACAAUUUCAUAUAAAUCUAUGUACAUAUAUUUUAUAUGUAUUUUCUCACCCCACCGUCAGCUCGGGGGUGAGGAAAUGCUGGGUAUAGAGAAGGAAGGUAUAAAACAAAUGGGACACGACCUCCCCCUCGUGUUGGUGAAACAUGACAAUAAUACGAUAUGAGGCUACAAGCCACAGAAUAUAGCAUAACCCGGCUGAACCACCAGCCCUUGGUGCAGUUCACAGUGAGAAAGAGCGAGAGAAUAAACGCGCGGUUAAACAGAGAAGGAAAUAAUAGGGUCUCGGGUAUUAUUGUGGGCUCAGGGUUGUAGAUUGUAGCCACUAGCGAAGGGUAUAAACGAGCGCCAGCUUGAGCCAAUUUGAACCUCAUUUCUCGUUAUUGACUUUGCCUUUUUUUCCUUCCUUCCUUCCUUCCUUCCUUCCUUCCUACCUUUCUUCCAUCAUCUACGCUUUCCCCGCCACCCAGGACUACCACAGGUCAGAGUUUCAUCGCUCCCGGUAAUCCCUUCGACCGGGUUGAAGCGGAAAACAGACACGCGAAAUCAAAAAAAAAAACAAAAAACCGUAGAAUAUAAAUUUCUACGUUCCUUAAUAAUCGGCGAUAAUCUCUGUAUUUUAUGCUCAAAUAAUUCUCCUCCCUCGACGUUGUAAAAAUGUAAACUCCUGAUCCAUUCGUUCGGCAAACUGAUAGAAUUUUUCCGAAUCGAAGAAUGUUGAAACCUUUCCAUAAUACAAACGAUACAGCGUCGUACGGGAAAACCAAAUUUGUCAAGUAUAUCAUCGAUGAAAUUAUUCAAUUUGUUUGGCUAUCUAAAAAAUAAUCUUUGAUAGGGCAAAGCUUUUUUUCUAUGUUACCAAUGAAACUAUAGAUUUUUGCUUAAAGAGAAAAGAAAAACUUUCUGUUUGUGCGUACCUGCAGAAUUGUGUAGUAUGUUAUAAGUAUUUCUGUGUAUAUUGCUGGCGAUUGUUAUUAGCACUCCAACUAAUAUAGCGGAAAAACUCCGGGUUGGCUAAGCAAUUCCAUCGGUAAGUCGUAAAUUCUUGGUUCGCCCCUCGACCCCAUGGGGAACCCCCCGUGUCGUUUCAGGACCCUUCUUAUAGCUACCCCUGGUAAAGAAAUGAAACAACCUAGCCUUAGGACUCUGGAACUGACAACAAGGAUCCCUUCGAAUAAUAACGAACGCAGAAGGUAUAAUAAAGCAGGUAUUGUCCUGGAUAUUUAGACGCCGAUUCUUGUGGCCUACUGUUGCGACAGUUAGUAUAUUAUAAACUGUUUAUUAAGCCUAUUUUGAAAGCAGCUCGCUUUCGCUAUUAUACUUGUUUAAUUUAGUAUAAGAUGCUUCUGCACAAUGAUGACAAUUUUCAUAAUUCAGAGUUACAUCUACAAGAUAGCUUGAUUAAAUUAUCCUAAAUCCGUGUUCAAAAUUAAUAACCGUAACGAGCGCGCCAGUACUUCAGAUACCGCCAUGCCACUAUAAAUAUUAUGGGGUAACCAAUUUUUUCAUUUGCUAUUCAUUCCAUUUUUUUGGUAAAAGGUAUAUAAGUAUAGAGGAACUAAAGCUGCAAAUAUUUCGGAUUACUCCUAUGUAAUAAAAAUAUCUUGUAGUCGAUGUCCGUCAAGUGAGGCUACUACGCGUGGAGCUGAAUUCAUUAUGUUAGAUCCCGAACUCCUACCCGCCUGCAGAUGUUGAAAAGGUAUUUCGUUUGAUGUUCGUAACCCCGUCCAGUAUUCAAAUUGAACGACCCAAAAGCGAGUCUGGUGUGAUUCCAUUCAUUUUUUCAACUUCGAUUCGAAGCAUAGAAACUGCUCCCUCGUUGAAUCAACUAUUUCCGGUGAAACUGUAAAAGCCAGCAUGCCCCGAUCGUGUCAAGGAAAACUCUGGGUUUUACGACCCUCUAGAAAGUGGAAUUUAUCUUCAGCUUGCACGACUUUGGUAUUUUACUCGUCAGUUACUAACAAACACAUGUACACGUGUAUUACGAUAUUACAUGAAAACUCAGUAGAUUUGACCUGCUCAUAGCUCGUUCGAAAUUAUAAUCAUCCCAUAACUUUUUUUCCGAACAGAGGCUGUGAAAUUUCUUGCAAGUCUAUCGUUAUACCCUCGUUUCAAUCUCGACACAACGAUAAG